rnacentral:rRNA from 1 species
CACGUAGGCACCAAGCGUUGUCCGGAUUUAUUGGGCGUAAAGAGCUCGUAGGCGGUUGAGUAAGUCGGGUGUGAAAACUCUGGGCUUAACCCAGAGCCGCCACCCGAUACUGCUCUGACUUGAGUUCGGUAGGGGAGCAGGGAAUUCCUAGUGUAGCGGUGAAAUGCGCAGAUAUUAGGAGGAACACCGGUGGCGAAGGCGCUGCUCUGGGCCGAUACUGACGCUGAGGUGCGAAAGCGUGGGGAGCAAACAGG